rnacentral:rRNA from 1 species
UACGAAGGAUGCAAGCGUUAUCCGGAUUUAGUGGGUUUAAAGGGUGCGUAGGCGGACUUAUAAGUCAGUGGUGAAAUCUCGUUGCUUAACAACGAACGUGCCAUUGAUACUGUAGGUCUUGAGUACAGAUGCCGUUGGCGGAAUGUGUCAUGUAGCGGUGAAAUGCAUAGAUAUGACACAGAACACCGAUUGCGAAGGCAGCUGACGAAACUGUAACUGACGCUGAGGCACGAAAGCGUGGGGAUCAAACAGG